UACAGAGGUGGCAAGCGUUGUUCGGAAUUACUGGGCGUAAAGGGCGCGUAGGCGGCUUGGUCAGUCCUGUGUGAAAUCCCUCGGCUCAACUGAGGAACUGCACGGGAAACUGCCUGGCUUGAGUUCGGGAGAGGGAAGCGGAAUUCCGGGUGUAGCGGUGAAAUGCGUAGAUAUCCGGAGGAACACCGGUGGCGAAGGCGGCUUCCUGGACCGACACUGACGCUGAGGCACGAAAGCGUGGGGAGCAAACAGG
rnacentral:rRNA from 1 species